rnacentral:SRP_RNA from 1 species
CUUAUAUAGACGUAACAAACCCCUUAAUAUAAUUGGUCAGGAUCGAAAGAUAGCAGCCCUAUUAAGUGGGAUUGUGUACGUCGUUUUUUAAUGUU